rnacentral:rRNA from 1 species
UAGGGAAUCUUCCACAAUGGACGCAAGUCUGAUGGAGCAACGCCGCGUGAGUGAAGAAGGCUUUCGGGUCGUAAAACUCUGUUAUUGAAGAAGAACGUGCGUGACAGUAACUGGUCAUGCAGUGACGGUAUUCAAUCAGAAAGUCACGGCUAACUACGUGCCAGCAGCCGCGGUAAUACGUAGGUGGCAAGCGUUGUCCGGAUUUAUUGGGCGUAAAGCGAGUGCAGGCGGUCUUUUAAGUCUGAUGUGAAAGCCUUCGGCUUAACCGAAGAAGGGCAUCGGAAACUGGGAGACUUGAGUGCAGAAGAGGAGAGUGGAACUCCAUGUGUAGCGGUGAAAUGCGUGGAUAUAUGGAAGAACACCAGUGGCGAAGGCGGCUCUCUGGUCUGUAACUGACGCUGAGGCUCGAAAGCGUGGGUAGCAAACAGGAUUAGAUACCCUGGUAGUCCACGCCGUAAACGA